UCAUCCACAAUGGACGAAAGUCUGAUGGUGCAACGUCGCGUGAGCGACGAAGGUCUUCGGAUCGUAAAACUCUGUUGUAAGGGAAGAACACGUACAGUAGUAACUGGCUGUACCUUGACGGUACCUUAUUAGAAAGCCACGGCUAACUACGUGCCAGCAGCCGCGGUAAUACGUAGGUGGCAAGCGUUGUCCGGAAUUAUUGGGCGUAAAGCGCGGGCAGGCGGUCCUUUAAGGCUGAUGUGAAAGCCCACGGCUCAACCGGGGAGGGUGAUUGGAAACGGGGGGACUUGAGUGCAGAAGAGGAAAGGGGAAUUCCAAGUGUAGCGGUGAAAUGCGUAGAGAUUUGGAGGAACACCAGAGGCGAAGGCGACUUUCUGGUCUGUAACUGACGCUGAGGCGCGAAAGCGUGGGGAGCAAACA
rnacentral:rRNA from 1 species